UACGGAGGGUGCGAGCGUUGUUCGGAAUCACUGGGCGUAAAGGGCGUGUAGGCGGUCUGUUAAGUCUGAUGUGAAAGCCCGGGGCUCACCCCCGGAAGUGCAUUGGAUACUGGCGACUCGAGUCUCGGAGAGGAGGGUGGAAUUCCUGGUGUAGCGGUGAAAUGCGUAGAUAUCAGGAGGAACACCGGUGGCGAAGGCGGCCCUCUGGACGAUGACUGACGUGAGACGCGAAAGCGUGGGGAGCAAACAGG
rnacentral:rRNA from 1 species